GUGGGGAAUAUUGGACAAUGGGGGGAACCCUGAUCCAGCCAUGCCGCGUAUGUGAAGAAGGCCUUUUGGUUGUAAAGCACUUUAAGCGAGGAGGAGGCUACCGAGAUUAAUACUCUUGGAUAGUGGACGUUACUCGCAGAAUAAGCACCGGCUAACUCUGUGCCAGCAGCCGCGGUAAUACAGAGGGUGCAAGCGUUAAUCGGAUUUACUGGGCGUAAAGCGCGCGUAGGUGGCCAAUUAAGUCAAAUGUGAAAUCCCCGAGCUUAACUUGGGAAUUGCAUUCGAUACUGGUUGGCUAGAGUAUGGGAGAGGAUGGUAGAAUUCCAGGUGUAGCGGUGAAAUGCGUAGAGAUCUGGAGGAAUACCGAUGGCGAAGGCAGCCAUCUGGCCUAAUACUGACACUGAGGUGCGAAAGCAUGGGGAGCAAACAGGAUUAGAUACCCCAGUAGUCC
rnacentral:rRNA from 1 species